GAUGAACGCUAGCUACAGGCUUAACACAUGCAAGUCGAGGGGCAGCAUCAUCAAAGCUUGCUUUGAUGGAUGGCGACCGGCGCACGGGUGAGUAACACGUAUCCAACCUGCCGACAACACUGGGAUAGCCUUUCGAAAGAAAGAUUAAUACCGGAUGGCAUAGUCUUCCCGCAUGGGAUGAUUAUUAAAGAAUUUCGGUUGUCGAUGGGGAUGCGUUCCAUUAGGCAGUUGGCGGGGUAACGGCCCACCAAACCUACGAUGGAUAGGGGUUCUGAGAGGAAGGUCCCCCACAUUGGAACUGAGACACGGUCCAAACUCCUACGGGAGGCAGCAGUGAGGAAUAUUGGUCAAUGGACGAGAGUCUGAACCAGCCAAGUAGCGUGAAGGAUGACUGCCCUAUGGGUUGUAAACUUCUUUUAUACGGGAAUAAAGUUAGCCACGUGUGGCUUUUUGUAUGUACCGUAUGAAUAAGGAUU
rnacentral:rRNA from 1 species